rnacentral:rRNA from 1 species
UAGGGAAUAUUGGACAAUGGGGGCAACCCUGAUCCAGCCAUGCCGCGUGAGUGAAGAAGGCCCUCGGGUUGUAAAGCUCUUUUGUCCGGAAAGAAAAGCAUUCGGUGAAUACCCGGAUGUUCUGACGGUACCGGAAGAAUAAGCACCGGCUAACUUCGUGCCAGCAGCCGCGGUACUACGAAGGGUGCAAGCGUUACUCGGAAUUACUGGGCGUAAAGCGCGCGUAGGUGGUUGUUUAAGUCUGAUGUGAAAGCCCUGGGCUCAACCUGGGAAUGGCAUUUGAAACUGGGCAGCUAGAGUGCGGUAGAGGGUAGUGGAAUUCCCGGUGUAGCAGUGAAAUGCGUAGAGAUCGGGAGGAACAUCUGUGGCGAAGGCGACUGCCUGGACCAGCACUGACACUGAGGCACGAAAGCGUGGGGAGCAAACA